GCAGCUUAGUGGGAGAGCGUCUGCUUGGCAUGUAGAGGGCCCGGGUUCAAGCCCUAAUGGUGUCCCCAGCUGAGACU